rnacentral:rRNA from 1 species
AGGACGAACGCUGGCGGCGUGCUUAACACAUGCAAGUCGAGCGGAAAGGCCCUUCGGGGUACUCGAGCGGCGAACGGGUGAGUAACACGUGAGCAACCUGCCCUUAGCUUCGGGAUAGCUCCGGGAAACCGGAAUUAAAUACCGAAUAUGACUUUGGCUGACAUCAGCAGAAGUGGAAAGUUUUUCGGCUAGGGAUGGACUCGCGACCUAUCAGCUAGUUGGUGAGGUAACGGCCCACCAAGGCGACGACGGGUA